CCCCAGACAGGAAGUGCCGCGCCGGCGCUCGCCGCCGCCGCAGCGCGGGGCCGCCCGCGGGCGGGGGAAGCGGCCCGGGCCCCGCCGCUCGCUCCGCGCCUCGGGGCGCCACCACGGCCCCGCCGCCCCCGCUCCUCGCCCGGCCCCAGGCGCUGAGCUCCGAGCGCGGUCCGGCCCCAUCCCGUCCCACCCGCGCCCCGUUAAGCCAGGACUAGAAGGACCAAGAAACCCCUUGCCGCCCGGAGCCUUCCCCGCGCGCAAGAGCUUCGCGGUCCCGUUAGGAGCAGGUGAACGGCAGCACCGCAUCGACCCGGCAAGGAGCCUCGCUUCCCCCCUCUCAAGGUCCAGCAGCCCUAAGAGCCGGACCGCAAGCAACAACGUGGAAGCAAAACAAUAUCCAGCACGAAUCACCUCCAGCUUUCGACAGAUCAUGCUCCUACUACCCCCUCAAGUCUUUUUAGAAAUACAGCUUACGUGUCUGUAAAUAUGGCCAUUAAAGUCAGGCAUUUUGUAGACUUCGCUGAUCUAUUCCUAGCUGUAAGGAAUUAAAUUUGUUCAUCGCCUCAUCAGAUAACAAGUGAUACCUGCAAGCAAGACCGUUUGUUCUCACACUCAAGCCAUGAUACAUCUAAAUGUAGAUCCGCGCUAAAGUUUCACCAGCCGAGCUCUUCCCAGCCAGAUGCAUGCACAAAAAAAGCACUCUCCAGCCAGCUGUGGCGGCACAGAGCUCUCAUGCAGACACAGCUUUGCCAACAGCAGCGUGCUCCUGUCAGCUUGUGCUAUUCACAGAGGUGGAACGGGCGUGCUAACAAGAAUUCCGUCUGUCAGUGGAUUUCCACUAGAGGACUCUGCUGUGUUCUGCAGCAGAAGUUGUUCUAGUGGAGAGGAGCCCAAGGGCAAGUAAAGGCACUUUAAGUAGGCACACGCUUGAAUGUGCAAUAAAGCCUCAUCGCCCUUCAUUAAAACACCCUCAAGUCGAAGGGGAAACCCUCACGCAAUGUAGUUGAGCCACACUGUAGAUUCAGCUUAUGAACCCAGUACUGAAUUAACUGCGUACUCACGUCACUUUGCCCUGUGUACCUACUGCUGUUAAAAAAUCAUAUUUUACCCACACUUCUCUUGAAGCAGUUAGGUCUGCAGCAAUAAAAGACAGAAAUAGUUUGUCAAGCUUAGAUCCAGAUCAAAAGCCGCACCGAGACACUAAACACCUUUGAAGAUCCAGACCUGUGUCAGUGGGAGCUCACAGCUACAUACUUUGGAAAAGAUGCAUUCAUAGUUUGCUGCCAUACUGUAACUCAGUGAGCAUUGUUUACUGAUUGCAACUCCCAGUCACAAACCAAAGUGUUUGACUCAUAUCCAAGUCGUUCUCUCUACCCCCUACAGGUAGAAUGAAGUUUUGCCAAAGCUAUGAGAACUCCUUGAAUAAGUAUAUUCAAGUAAUCUACAUGUGUAAUUUUUGACAAACCCCAUGUGUCCAAAAUGAAGAAUAAUAAUUUAAAAAGAGUGUAAAACAUCCAGCUCUUGGUUCAAUAUCAGCCUCUAAGCGGCAUUUCUUUACUACUGUGAGCACAGACUCUGCACAGUGUUUGCCAAUUCACAUGAAAUGGACUCUAACAGCUGCACACAUUAUUCUGAUUCUUCCCUCUCUCUGAUCAUACACAGGGAGAGUAUCAUUGGAUGCCCAAGGGAUUCCAGUCAGCGGAAAAAAAGGCCAAGCCUCUGCACUUUCAAGAUUAUAAUCUCAGCUGUCAAGAUAGCCAGGUAGACCCUACAUGCUCAUCGCAUGCUACAUCUAUGAACUGCCAGGAAAAAAAAAAGUCAACAUGUUCUAAUAUGCAGGAAAGCUACCAUUCAAAACUACGCUCGUGGCACACAGGAAUGUAGCAAGGGUAAGUCUUAAGUAAUUUCAAGACAGUAACAAGUAAUUGCACUUUUAGCUGACAGCACCUCCAUCCCUGUGAACUUCAGAGUCUUUGGUAGAUAAGGAACUUGGACAACCUGAACACCCAAGUGAUUUGUCCCCAUACUUGUAUCAACACAGGAGUAAAAUACCUAUCAACUCAUGCUUUCUUGUUACAGGAUACAGACAACUUUGUUCACAUUAAAGGAAAUAAGCUUCCCUUCUUGUCUGCAAUAUACACCUGUUAAACUUCAUCCCGAUUAUUUUUGAAAAAAGUGAAAGACAACUCGAGAGAAGCAGCUGGAUGGGAUUAACUGCAUGCAAGACAGCAGAUGCAGAAAUUCAAAAUGUGAAAACCUGGAAGGUUUCAGCAGAUUUGCAAAAGUGGAUGGGAGUGGGAUCAUCAAUUAUCUUAAGCAUUUCCUUGAACAGUCCUAAAAACUACCACAGCAUUCAGUGGUUAUGGAGUUACUGUCAGCCGCCUCCCCUCCCAUAGCCUCUGCGCCAAGUUGCCUUCCCACAAUUCUGACAAAUACACUGAAAACAUGCUCCGGUAACAGACCAUAGUUUCGCUUGGAAAACUAUUUCAUAAGCUUUGUAACUUGAAACACUAAAAGUACAACCUUCCAAUGGCACCUUUUUCCUUCACUGACAGCAAAUGAUGAACCAGAAAGAAAAAAACCAUAUAUUUAACUACUUUUAGCCACAGCAGAUUCCAGCUGUAUUCUACCAUGAUAAACCUACUCUGGGAAAAGGCAAUUGUCAAAAAGCAGUUAAGCAGUUACUUAUUCUUACAGAGGUGAUUUGUUUAACUUCAGUUAUGUAAGUAGUCAAGGGUAGACAGCAAUCUCUGAGGGUAGUAUUUGCAGUCUACAUGAGAAAUUGCAAAUGGUAACAGGAAAAAUAAUGAAUUGCCAACCGAACUGAAAAGCUCCGAGUAACUUCAGAAGUCCAGGCAUGCCCUGUCCUUGAGUGGCAAAACUGCCUGCAAAUUUUAAAUAGUUACAGAAAGUUAGUUUUGCCUAGGACCCUGAAAAGAAAUUAACAUCUAAUAAUUACAGAAGUAGUCACUGUCCUGAACAGCUAUCAAACUGUUGGUAGUUAUUACUGCAUUGCAAGGGUAACGAUACAAAGAAACACUUUUAACAGUUAGAUUCCAGAAACACGCAAGAAGAUGGAGCAGUCUCCUUUAUCAGCACAUCAGCAUAAUCAUUACCUUCCACUGUGGAUUCCAGCAAAAGUAAUAGCAAAAUAACCACAAAGCAUCCCUGGGGGAACCAGGGACUGCUGAGGAAAGGGGUCAGUGACCAUGCCAAGCUUGUCUUCUUGACUAUACCAUAUGAUACCACAGCCAUGAGUCUGUCACAAUCUGCAUCUUCAGAGUGGACCCAGGAUCCUGGUGUCACUAUUCAUAUGGCAACUAGUGAUUCCACACAGAAAAGCAAAUGUAUUCUCAGGACUUGAUGCUACCUUUGACAAAGAGAGGAGGACUUACUCAAAACAGCAAGUGUUCACAUUCCAGCAUUAUUACUUGUGAAUGUGGAAUAAGAAAAAUUUGGCUGUCCCCCCCCAAAAAAAAUUGUAUAUGCACUUCCCUGCCUUAUAAUGAAAUCUUUCAUUUCAGGGCAGUUUAGCAGACAAUUACAAAUCAGGUAUUUGCAUAGCACAUUACAUGAUUUUACAAAACUGACAGUAUUUGAGGAUAGUAAUAGGUUGGCACAGGAACCAGGCCACUGUUGAGCAAUUUCUCUGUUCAAGACCUCGCACUUACAAUUCCUUAAGACCUCCCUGAUAACAACAAAAGUCUAUUCUAUAAGCCCAUUGAAUUUUUAACAAGGGCUAAAUGUCCUGCUCAAACACAUAUGGCUUUACUGUGAUCCUAGAAUUUGUCACCAACUACAAUCUCAUCCUAAUAUGCAGAUCACCUUUAAAAAUUAUGAAAGUUUGUCACUGUAUUUUUGACCAAUAAAGACCACUGAACUCUUGUGCGCUCA